rnacentral:piRNA from 1 species
GAGGUCAGCAGGGCUAUCAGCAGCUUCCGU